rnacentral:rRNA from 1 species
AGUGAACGCUGGCGGUAGGCCUAACACAUGCAAGUCGAACGGCAGCACAGUAAGAGCUUGCUCUUACGGGUGGCGAGUGGCGGACGGGUGAGGAAUACAUCGGAAUCUACUUUUUCGUGGGGGAUAACGUAGGGAAACUUACGCUAAUACCGCAUACGACCUACGGGUGAAAGCAGGGGAUCUUCGGACCUUGCGCGACUGAAUGAGCCGAUGUCGGAUUAGCUAGUUGGCUGGGUAAAGGCCCACCAAGGCGACGAUCCGUAGCUGGUCUGAGAGGAUGAUCAGCCACACUGGAACUGAGACACGGUCCAGACUCCUACGGGAGGCAGCAGUGGGGAAUAUUGGACAAUGGGCGCAAGCCUGAUCCAGCCAUACCGCGUGGGUGAAGAAGGCCUUCGGGUUGUAAAGCCCUUUUGUUGGGAAAGAAAAGCAGCAGGUUAAUACCCCGCUGUUCUGACGGUACCCAAAGAAUAAGCACCGGCUAACUUCGUG